CAGUAGCCGCGGUAAUACGUAGGUCCCGAGCGUUGUCCGGAUUUAUUGGGCGUAAAGGGCUCGCAGGCGGUUACUUAAGUCUGAUGUGAAAGCCCCCGGCUCAACCGGGGAGGGUCAUUGGAAACUGGGAAACUUGAGUGCAGAAGAGGAGAGUGGAAUUCCACGUGUAGCGGUGAAAUGCGUAGAGAUGUGGAGGAACACCAGUGGCGAAGGCGACUCUCUGGUCUGUAACUGACGCUGAGGAGCGAAAGCGUGGGGAGCGAACAGGAUUAGAUACCCGAGUAGUCCCUGUCUCUUAUAC
rnacentral:rRNA from 1 species